GACGAACGCUGGCGGCGUGCUUAACACAUGCAAGUCGAGCGGUAAGGCCCUUUGGGGUACACGAGCGGCGAACGGGUGAGUAACACGUGGGUGACCUGCCCUGCACUUCGGGAUAAGCCUGGGAAACUGGGUCUAAUACCGGAUAGGACUCCGGACUGCAUGGUCUGGGGUGGAAAGCUUUUGCGGUGUGGGAUGGGCCCGCGGCCUAUCAGCUUGUUGGUGGGGUGAUGGCCUACCAAGGCGACGACGGGUAGCCGGCCUGAGAGGGUGACCGGCCACACUGGGACUGAGAUACGGCCCAGACUCCUACGGGAGGCAGCAGUGGGGAAUAUUGCACAAUGGGCGCAAGCCUGAUGCAGCGACGCCGCGUGAGUGAUGAAGGCUUUCGGGUUGUAAACCUCUUUCAGCACCGACGAAGCGCAAGUGACGGUAGGUGCAGAAGAAGGACCGGCCAACUACGUGCCAGCCGCCGCAGUAA
rnacentral:rRNA from 1 species